UACGGGGAGGNCAGCAGGCGCGAAACCUUUACACUGCACGACAGUGCGAUAGGGGGACUCCGAGUGCGGGGGCUUAUUAGCCUCCGCUUUUCUCGACCCUAAGGUGGUCGAAGAAUAAGGACUGGGCAAGACCGGUGCCAGCCGCCGCGGUAAUACCGGCAGUCCGAGUGAUGGCCGCUAUUAUUGGGCCUAAAGCGUCCGUAGCUUGCCGUGAAAGUCUAUCGGGAAAUCGACGUGCCCAACACGUCGGCUUCCGGUGGAAACUGUUCGGCUUGGGGCCGGAAGACUCAGCGGGUACGUCUGGGGUAGGAGUGAAAUCCUGUAAUCCUGGACGGACCACCAAUGGCGAAAGCACGCUGAGAAGCCGGACCCGACAGUGAGGGACGAAAGCCAGGGUCUCGAACCGGAUUAGAUACCCGGGUAGUCCUGGCCGUAAACGAUGCUCGUUAGGUCUGCCGUGCACUACGAGUGCACGGUGAGCCGAAGUGAAGACGAUAAACGAGCCGCCUGGGAAGUACGUCCGCAAGGAUGAAACUUAAAGGANNUG
rnacentral:rRNA from 1 species